GGAAGAGGAAGUGAACACACAGCUACAAAGCCCUACUCUAGCACCUCCAGACAUCUGGCCUGAGCCACUGUAGGCAUAUAGCUUCAUUUCCUGAAACAAAGCAAUUCCUUGCAAUUGAAAAUGGUUGUCUUCCAUGAUUGUCUUAUCUGCGAGUCCAAAGAUAGCUGAUGAGGCCUAUCUAGGAUCAACAGACUCUACUACAGCUCAGACGUGUGUUUCUAUAUCAGCAUUCCAGUCUAUCAAGAUUUUUUAAUUCUACUCAUAUUCGCCAUGUGUCUGCAGUUCCUUCUAAGUUUUGUGCCAUCUGCAAGCAUGAUCAGGAAGCUCUCCAUUCCAGUAUCCAAGUUAUUAACAAACAUGUCAAGGAGCACUAGACCCAGGACAGACCCCUGUGAAACUCCACUUGAAAACUCCUGCCAUUCUGCUAAAGACAACAGCAAUUUUAGCAAAGUAAAAUUCCGGAGUUGCUGCGUGAAAGAUACAGAACUGACAUCUACAGGGGAUGAAAAGAAGAGGGGUGAGCCACAAGAAGGCAUAGGUUAAGAGCUCAUCUACAAUAUAAAAAUGCCCGAGAAGCAUUAUAUUAAACAGCAAUUAACAAAUGCUUCAUAAGGAAUUUUUUUUUCCAACUAGGUAAGGAACAUCUGACUUUUUAGGGCUGGAAACAGAAGGUUGAAAUUUAGCAACUGUUUGAAAAUACAAAUAAUGUUUAUUUUAAUACAUUAUUUCCAUAGAUGUAAAUCAUGAUUUAAAAUACUGAACAUUUCAUUGAUCAUUGGAAAUCUAAAGUUGUUAACUUGGUAAUACUCUUUUUAUCAAGUAUUAUUACUGCUUACAGCCACUGACUCCCAAGAAGAUUCUUCCAAUUGCAGCCUUUCAUUGGGCAACACAAAACCUGUCCACCUGUCCUACUUACAAAUGAAUUAUAGAACUCUGGCUUUGUUUCUAUAAAUUUAAAGAAAUGGGGGGAUGGGGGAGCAACAGCCUGGUCUUAUUUGACUGGAUAUCACUACAUAUUUCUGAACCUAUAUUAAGAGUUGCACAGUGUCUACAUGUCAAGCCUACUAAAUCUGCUUGAUCAGGGCAAAUUAUGCACAUAUAAUGGAAUAUGCUACUAUCACCAGGCAGUAAAGCAGAGCUCUCAUCAAGCCAAGUUAUUUCACAUUGUCUCCUCCAAUACACUGCUGAAAUGCUGCCAGAAUUGAAGAAGUGCUGUCUAAUCCAUAAAUCAGACAGCCUAUAGGGGUUGCAGUACUCCUGACUGAUAGCCUGCAAUUAUAAAAUGGUAGUUUAAAGCCUGAUUACUGUCUCUUUGUUUUUCCCUUUCCCGCUCUCAUUUUAAUUAUCAUCUUUACAGAUGCUGGAUGUAUACUUCAGUUGGUACCUUGUACACUACAGAGAAAAGUCAGCUGUAAUAUAAAAAAACCCAACCUUUUGCCCUUAAAAGCUGAAACCUAUACACAUAUUCUCAAGUCUGAGCUUUCACUGAAUUACAAAUUGAUUUACCAAAAAAUUUGA